rnacentral:rRNA from 1 species
CCUUGUCGGGUAAGUUCCGACCUGCACGAAUGGCGUAAUGAUGGCCAGGCUGUCUCCACCCGAGACUCAGUGAAAUUGAACUCGCUGUGAAGAUGCAGUGUACCCGCGGCAAGACGGAAAGACCCCGUGAACCUUUACUAUAGCUUGACACUGAACAUUGAGCCUUGAUGUGUAGGAUAGGUGGGAGGCUUUGAAGUGUGGACGCCAGUCUGCAUGGAGCCGACCUUGAAAUACCACCCUUUAAUGUUUGAUGUUCUAACGUGGACCCGUGAUCCGGGUUGCGGACAGUGUCUG